rnacentral:rRNA from 1 species
GAUGAACGCUGGCGGCGUGCCUAAUACAUGCAAGUCGAACGCAUUGUGGUUGAAAUGAUAUGAAGAACUUGUUCAGAUUUGAUUUUCAACAUUGCAAUGAGUGGCGAACGGGUGAGUAACACGUGGGAAACCUACCUCUUAGCAGGGGAUAACAUUUGGAAACAAAUGCUAAUACCGUAUAAUAAUUAAAACCGCAUGGUUUUAGUUUAAAAGAUGGUCUUGCUAUCACUAAGAGAUGGUCCCGCGGUGUAUUAGUUAGUUGGUGAGGUAAUGGCUCACCAAGACAAUGAUACAUAGCCGAGUUGAGAGACUGACCGGCCACAAUGGGACUGAGACACGGCCCAUACUCCUACGGGAGGCAGCAGUAGGGAAUCUUCCACAAUGGACGAAAGUACUGAUGGAGCAACGCCGCGUGUGUGAUGAAGGGUUUCGGCUCGUAAAACACUAGUUGUAAGAGAAGAAUGACAUUGAGAGUAAC